UGAGGAAUAUUGGACAAUGGGCGCAAGCCUGAUCCAGCCAUGCCGCGUGCAGGAAGAAGCAUCUAUGGUGUGUAAACUGCUUUUGUACGGGAAGAAACACUCCUUCGUGAAGGAGCUUGACGGUACCGUAAGAAUAAGGAUUGGCUAACUCCGUGCCAGCAGCCGCGGUAAUACGGAGGAUCCAAGCGUUAUCCGGAAUCAUUGGGUUUAAAGGGUCCGUAGGCGGUUUAGUAAGUCAGUGGUGAAAGCCCAUCGCUCAACGAUGGAACGGCCAUUGAUACUACUAGACUUGAAUUAUUAGGAAGUAACUAGAAUAUGUAGUGUAGCGGUGAAAUGCUUAGAUAUUUCCUGGAAUACCAAUUGCGAAGGCAGGUUACUAAUAAUGGAUUGACGCUGAUGGACGGAAGCGUAGGGAGCGAACA
rnacentral:rRNA from 1 species